CCUACGGGCGGCAGCAGUGAGGAAUAGUGGUCAAUGGACGGAAGUCUGAACCAGCCAUGCCGCGUGCAGGAAGACGGCUCUAUGAGUUGUAAACUGCUUUUGUACAAGGGUAAACCUGAAUACGUGUAUGCAGCUGAAAGUACUGUACGAAUAAGGAGCGGCUAACUCCGUGCGAGCAGCCGCGGUAAUACGGAGGAUCCAAGCGGUAUCCGGAUUUAUUGGGUUUAAAGGGUGCGUAGGCGGAUUUAUAAGGUAGAGGGGAAAUGUCCGCGCUUAACUCGGGAACUGCCUCUAAUACUGUUGAUCUAGAGCGUAGCUGCUGUAGGCGGAAUGUCUGGUGUAGCGGU
rnacentral:rRNA from 1 species